UGUCUAGUACAUGCCGUAUUAAGGCGAAACCGCGAAUGGCUCAUUAAAUCAGUUAUGGUUCCUUGGAUCGUACCUUACUACUUGGAUAACUGUGGUAAUUCUAGAGCUAAUACAUGCAGCAGAGCUCCGACCUUCGGGGACGAGCGCUUUUAUUAGACCAAAACCAAUCGGACUCCGUCCGUCUCUCGUGGUGACUCUGAAUAACUUUGGGCUGAUCGCACGGGCCCGUCCCGGCGACGUAUCUUUCAAGUGUCUGCCUUAUCAACUGUCGAUGGUAGGUUACGCGCCUACCAUGGUCGUAACGGGUAACGGGGAAUCAGGGUUCGAUUCCGGAGAGGGAGCCUGAGAAACGGCUACCACAUCCAAGGAAGGCAGCAGGCGCGCAAAUUACCCACUCCCAGAACGGGGAGGUAGUGACGAAAAAUAACAAUACGGGACUCUUUUGAGACCCCGUAAUUGGAAUGAGUACACUCUAAAUCCUUUAACGAGGAUCCAUUGGAGGGCAAGUCUGGUGCCAGCCGCCGCGGUAACUCCAGCUCCAAUAGCGUAUAUUAAAGUUGUUGCGGUUAAAAAGCUCGUAGUUGGAUCUCAGUUCCAGACGGGUGGUCCGCCUACCGGUGGUUACUGCCUGUUCUGAACAGCCAGCCGGUUUCUCUUGAUGAUCUUCACCGGUUGUCUUGGGUGACCGGCAAGUUUACUUUGAAAAAAUUAGAGUGCUCAAAGCAGGCGCGACGCCUGAAUAAUGGUGCAUGGAAUAAUGGAAUAGGACCUCGGUUCUAUUUUGUUGGUUUUCGGAACACGAGGUAAUGAUUAAGAGGGACAGACGGGGGCAUUCGUAUUGCGACGCUAGAGGUGAAAUUCUUGGACCGUCGCAGGACGAACUACUGCGAAAGCAUUUGCCAAGAAUGUUUCCAUUAAUCAAGAACGAAAGUUAGAGGUUCGAAGGCGAUCAGAUACCGCCCUAGUUCUAACCAUAAACGAUGCCAGCCAGCGAUCCGGCUGUGUUCCUCAAAUGACACGCCGGGCAGCUUCCGGGAAACCAAAGCUUUUGGGUUCCGGGGGAAGUAUGGUUGCAAAGCUGAAACUUAAAGGAAUUGACGGAAGGGCACCACCAGGAAUGGAGCCUGCGGCUUAAUUUGACUCAACACGGGAAAACUCACCCGGCCCGGACACAGGAAGGAUUGACAGAUUAAGAGCUCUUUCUUGAUUCUGUGGGUGGUGGUGCAUGGCCGUUCUUAGUUGGUGGAGCGAUUUGUCUGGUUAAUUCCGAUAACGAACGAGACUCUAGCCUACUAAAUAGACGUUCCGAUCACUCUCGUCGGGCGU
rnacentral:rRNA from 1 species